AAAGUCGUAAACAAGGUUUCCGUAGGUGAACCUGCGAAGGAUCAUUACAAAUAAAGCUGGUAGGAAGAGGGGUCUUGAUCUGUAAGUGGUAGAGCGAACAUCCGGUGCCUCCCGAAGUGUCUUACAUGUCCCCCACAGCCUGAAGGCCGAAUUACAACCCUUGAUUAUCUACACUUGUUGCUUUGGGGUGCUCAAGUACCCCCAGAGGACCCCAACUCUCUUGCAUUUAGUGACGUCUGUGUACUAUAUAAUAUUUAAAA
rnacentral:misc_RNA from 1 species